GAGAGGAUUGCACAUCUGGAAAUGUUGUGUUAAAAAUUAACAUCGUGGUGAAUUGCAUCGAUGCUCAACAGAUUACAAUAGGAACUCCAUACAGAAUGCUACAGGUAUUCGUCAUUCGAUAUUUUCAGCAAAUGAAUUGAACAACACAUUUUGUUGUACAACGCUGUCUGGAGAACAUCUCCCUUCCCUUUGGCA